UACAGAGGUCCCAAGCGUUGUUCGGAUUCAUUGGGCGUAAAGGGUGCGUAGGCGGCGCGGUCAGUCGGGUGUGAAAUCUCGGAGCUUAACUCCGAAACUGCAUUCGAUACUGCCGUGCUUGAGGACUGGAGAGGAGACUGGAAUUUACGGUGUAGCGGUGAAAUGCGUAGAUAUCGUAAGGAAGACCAGUGGCGAAGGCGGGUCUCUGGACAGUUCCUGACGCUGAGGCACGAAGGCUAGGGGAGCAAACGGG
rnacentral:rRNA from 1 species